GGUUCCCUAGGGUCGCAACUGGAGAGUUUCCAGUCCUCUACCAGUCUCAGCUGUGGAAGGGAGAGUCAAGCAGAGGCCUACCCAUUCCAUUCCUAGCUUGACCAGUGGCUAGUGAGUGGAAGGCAAUCUGCUACAAGU
rnacentral:snoRNA from 1 species